UUUUUUUUUUUGGUUUAGAAAGCUAAAGUUAAAAAAAAAAGUUUUUAAAGGGUAUUAUUUUGUUAGUUCGUUUUAGGCGCCAUAAGACCUUGGACCGGCACUGCAUCUAUCUAAUGAAUUAAAUUGAAAACAUGAAGUUUUUACAGAAGGCGGCGAAAAACAUAUUAUGUCCUGAAUCUAUGAUUUUUCUCUUUAUUUACCAGUUAUGUUUAUGGUUUUUCUCUUGAUCCAAAUAUUUUUUUUUCUUUUUAUUGUUUUUGCUUUUUCGGUAUGUGAGAGUCUAUAUGCUCAAAAAAUCAUGUAAAAUAUAAUUAAUUUCAAAAAUAGACUUUUUAAAAUUUAACUAUUUCCA
rnacentral:lncRNA from 1 species